rnacentral:rRNA from 1 species
GACGAACGCUGGCGGCGUGCUUAACACAUGCAAGUCGAACGGUGAACGAGGGAGCUUGCUCCCUCCGGAUCAGAGGCGAACGGGUGAGUAACACGUGAGCAAUCUGCCCCGAACUCUGGGAUAAGCGCUGGAAACGGCGUCUAAUACCGGAUACGACGCGGGAGGGCAUCCUCUCCGCGUGGAAAGAACUUCGGUUCGGGAUGAGCUCGCGGCCUAUCAGCUUGUUGGUGUGGUAAAGGCGCACCAAGCCUACGAUCCAUAGCUGGUCUGAGAGGACGACCAGCCACGCUGGGACUGAGACACGGCCCAGACUCCUACGGGAGGCAGCAGUGGGGAAUUUUGGACAAUGGGGGCAACCCUGAUCCAGCCAUGCCGCGUGCGGGAAGAAGGCCUUCGGGUUGUAAACCGCUUUUGUCGGGGAAGAAACGGUCUGCGCUAAUACCGCGGGCUAAUGACGGUACCCGAAGAAUAAGCACCGGCUAACUACGUGCCAGCCGCCGCAGUAAGAC